UGGACACGUUGGUAUUGUUGCUCUUUUACCUGGUUCUCUCUAUCGCUACAGUGUAUAACUGUCUCAUUCUUAUUUGGUGUGUGUAUACAAAAAAAGGCUUUUCUGAGCUUUCUCUAUAUAAAUACCUUAUAUGUUCACUAAUUAGUAUAAAACAAGACACCUGCUUAGGCUUUCAGCUAAAAUUACAAUCAGCAGAGUUUGAUAAGCACCAGACUGAAAUCCAUUGUGUUUUGAAGGCGCGUUGUGUUUAAAGUGAUG